GCCGAAGUGAAAAGACUGUGCCUAAGAUUGAUGAUGUUUUAUGAACUUGUCGUGUAGAUAAAGAUAUAUGUGCCUCGUUGAGUUGCCUCACUUAAGUUAUUACAAUAUAUACAUUUUAUUUCGAAAACUGAUUGCCCGAAAUGACUUCGGGCAUAUAACUUUUCUUAAGAAAUUAUUUAACCGAGCGAGGCUAGGCCACCUGAUAUCAUGAUUAAGUUGAGUAGCUUUCGGUAUUGGAAUUUAAAAGAAAAGUAAACACUUAUUUUUCAAUUUAAAAAAAAUUCACGCGCCAUUUCGGUAGAAAUAUUGCACUCAGUAGAUGACACAUCUAUGUAACCCCAACCAUACCACAUUAGUCAUCGUAUUCUUCGCAGUUAACUGAUGUAGCACUUAGCUUUUCUUUUAACAUUUUGUACAUAUCAUAAAUAAAGGGAGGAAAUAGAGGUGUGCCUAAUGUUCACGAAUAGCACCCCUUCAGCACUCCUAUCAAUUAUUGUGAAUCAUGUGAACUGGAAAAUGUGAAAGAAAAGGGCAUUUUCUGUUUCUGAUUAAAAAUAUUUGAGACGUCGAUAUUUUAAAACAAAAUUUAAUAUUGUAUCAUAUAAAAAAAGACAUUACUUCAUAAAAACAAGAUGAUCUAGUACUACGCGUGUCCCUAGGUCAAUUUAGUCAUGCAUGUUAAUUACUUUAAUUCAUAAAAUAAGCAUUGGUCAGUAUUAUUUAUUUCAAAAGAUGCCCUUUUAGCAAAUCCCAAAGACUAUUUACACACCGAAAGAGAAAAUAUUUCUUCCAUAGGACUUGAAAGAAAGAUUAACCCUUUUACCUUUACCCUUACCUAUCCCAUAGUCUGUUGGGCCGUUCUAAAAUAUCUUAAGUGUAAAGACGCAAUUCAGAUUAGAUAAAUUAAACAGACAGUUGAAGCUAGGCUUUCAUAGAGGUAACAUCGUACGUGAUAGUGACUGAGACUAGACUGCUGCCGUUGUGAAUUAAACAGUUAUACUUCAUACGCCUGUUGGUUGUUCACUCUUUUUGUGGAGUCGACAUUACAUCUCUACAUAAGUAAGAGUGUGGAAAUUGUAAAGCUGGUACCACUUGUAAUCGAUUUGACGGAAGCUGUGCAGCUGGUUGUCAAAAAGGCUGGAUAGGAGUCAAGUGUGAUGUCAAGAUCGCUGAUGCCUGUGAGGAUACUAUGAUGUCACUAGACUGUGGACCAGGCAACAACAUUGAAAUUCUUGAAGCUAUCUACAGUUAUCCAAAUGGAAGACAAUGUGAAAAGUCCGACGUACCAAUGACUUGCGUGUCCUAUAAAAAAUCUAAAGUUGUUGAAAGAUGUCUCGGACAAUCGCAUUGUGAUUUCAUGAUAGAUACUAAUUUAUUUGAGGUCAAAUGCAAGCGACCCAUUGUGAAACUAGCCACAGUGCACUAUAAAUGUAUACCU